AAUUUUAGCAUUGUCUUACAUCCUAUAGAAGAAAUACCUUAGUCUGUCACAGUCAGCAUAUUGACUUUAAGUAUUCAAUAUCCCUUCAGUCAGCAAUAAUCAUGUUAUAAACCUUAUAAAAGCAUAAAAUACAUAUAAACAAGUUAACUAUUUAAUAUUUCUUACAUCCCCCUCUUUGAGCAAUUAAUUUGCUCAUCUUAUCAAUAAAAUUUUACCAGGACAGAGAAACUUCCACAUGGUAUUUUCAGGGGUGCUAGUCACUCCCUGCGGGACUUUCAUUAAUUUCUUCACCUCGAUUCCCAUGUGGUAAUUCCUAAGGCCCAGUUUUAAAGAUGGGUUGAUAGCCUCCAGUGGCAGAGAGGAGAGUUUCCAAUUGUUUCUGUUCUGCAUUAUAGAUUAAUUUCUGUAUUCUCUUUCUCAAUGUACAAGUAAGAUGGCAGUUAUACAAAAUCAUACACAAUAAAAUCAGGACUAUAAUAACAAGAGGAUAGAAGAAUGAUUUCAUUAUCUGGGAUCCAGUAGGAGACCAACCAGUAAAAGCAUCGUACCAAUGAUGGACUAAAUCAUUCUGAAUCUGUGAACUCACCUUAAGGAGUUCUCCUUUUAGGAUAUGUGUGGCUACCUGUGUGUGUACUAUAGCAUCAUUAUGUGUAACAAGAUGUUUAAACAUAUUUUGUUUUCCUUUCAUUAAGGAGACAAUAGUCUCAAGAGGUAAAUGGUAAUCUUCAAAAGGCAGCGAGCCCAAUAGGGCAUUAACAUGUUUGUCUAAAGUAAUUGUGUCGCUGAAAUAAUAUUGGGUGUCAUUAAGAUCUAACCAGGUAAUAUUAGUCAAACAUCCUGAAAAAGGGAGAGGUAGAUUAAUACUUGUAGUGCUAGUAAUUAUCUUUGUAGGGAGAUUAGUUGCUAAACAGAUAUGUCGUGUGCUUAUUUCUGUCAUGGUAAAAUAAUUUUCAGGAUAUAUGUGCCAUAUACAUUUGUUAAGUUCAUUUUGGAGUAAACAUGGUUCGUAAAUAGAGGACGAGUGUCGACAUGCAUAUCCUUUGUCAGUGAGAACACAGUGUUUAAGGGAAUAGGUCAUAUUAUCUUUGGGAAAAAUAUAGUCCCCUGUGUAUGUGGGUGCCCACCAGGUUAAAUUCUUGGCAAAGAGAUCAUAAACUGGUACUGGUAAUGUGUUAAAUUGACAAGCUAAUUUAACAUCCUUUGAUGUUGUAUGAUAUAAUGUAAAAUAGCAUGAGCAUGAAAAAUGUGAUACAGUACCAGUUAACCAUUCAUUGCAUUUAGUGGAUUGGGGUUUCAGAAGUAACCAUUCAUUAUCUGUGAGGUUAAGCAUUCCUCUAAUCUUCUCUAAUUUAGGAAUCAUUAGUAUGUCUUCUAAUGCCGAUCUUUGGUGUUGCAUCCAUAAAUACCUGAUGGCACAAGUACUCCAAUUACUUAGACCUGUUGUGAAUUUCAUAGUUGCAACAGUUAAAUUAUCUAAAUAAUUAUACAUUGAUUUAUCUAAAUCCAAUCCUGUAACCUGUGAUUUAACAACAGUUGGAGCCCAGUUUGCAGUAGCAUGGAAACCAGUCCCUAUAUGCAUGCUGGCUGUGUUUAACUUAUUCUUGAGGGUCUCCAUAUCUAUAACUAUUUAGUAUACCCAUAGUGGUUCCAGCACCAUCUAACAGUGUGUCAUACCAUUCCCUUUUCUGCCUUUUGUUUGCUGUGUUACAUAAUGUUACAACAGGAGUAGUGAUUUUUAAUGACACAUGUACAGCUUGUAAGAAGACAGUUGUAUUAACACAUGUGGAUGGAAUAGGUGUGUGUGUGUCGUUGUUGACUUUUGGUUCUAUGUUAGAGGAUAAAGGACAGUAAUAAGGUGUAAAAAUAUAAGGUAGUGUAUAGUUCUCAAUUGCAGUGUCAUUCAUAAUGACUAACAUUUGUCCCUUUUUCCAAUUAAUGGUACCAGUUGUAUAAUCAUUAUUAAAAGUAAUAAGGCCUGUUUGUUUACAUUGAUAUGCAACCUUACUAAUUUUCUUAUAAUAUAUAUCCCAAACCUGUUUAGGUGGUUUUCUCUUACCAUCAGAACUUAUAUUAAAUAAGGUGGCACAGAUACCAGUGUAAUUAGCAACCUUAACUGUGCACAUUUCUGUGUUAUAAGAUCUAACAAUUUUCCGUGAACCUUCAAACAAACAUAAUGCAUCGGUUUCAUUAGCUGUGGACACAUUCCAUAUGAGUAACUGAUACUUAUAAGGGUUAUUAUUUGUCCAAUUCAUCCAAAUGCGUUCAGUGAAUGAAUGAUUGCAUAUUACAUGCUGAUAAAAAGGUGGUGGAGAAAAGUUCUUGAGGGAGCGUGUGUGACGAAUGCUAGAUGAGGGGUUAAGGCCUAAUUGGGCUGGGGGUAUUGAAGAAUUGUUCAUCAUGUCAGAGUCUUCUUUCCAGAAACAAACAGGUUUCAAACUUGCCAUUGCCUCGUAUUCAUAAUGGCAUUCAAGGAACAAUAUCAAAGGGAGUAUAACUACUCCAGAAAACAUAGCACACAACAUAAUCUUGGUCUCAGAUUCGUAUGAUCCUCUCAAUCUACGAUAUGGUGUGAAAACCAUGAUGCUUCGCUAAGGGGGACUUCUUCUGUUUCCGAGCGAGGAGUGGUGUUGUCUUCCUUGGCUCCCCUCUUUGGACACAGCUUCACUCGGGAUGCGUGAAUCCAGAUGUCGUGGGAAUCUGUGAGGACAGCGGUUCUGGUUACAGCAAUCACAGUAGCAGGUGGUCCAAAAGGGUAUCCUCCUUUCUUGGUCCUGUUCAGCUGACGGAUAUACACCUUGUCACCGGGCUGGUAUGGAUGAGUAGGUUCCUGUGAAGGUAAGGGAAACUGCGAAGAAACAUUGCCAUAUAUACCAUUCAGUUUCAUCAACAAUUCCUGUACAUAUUGUUCUUGUAUUAGCUGUAAAUCCCCAGACAUUAUAACAAGCGGUUCCCUGGCCCAGGGUGUGGGAAAAGGUCGUCCCAUCAGAAUCUCAAAUGGAGAUAAUUUAGUCACCUUGUGGGGAGUCAUUCUUAUCUCAGCUAAAAUAGCUGGUAGAUAUUUUGUCCAAUUUACCCAUGUUACUGCAGUAGCUUUCAUAAGCUUCUCCUUAAUGGUCCUAUUCAUCCUUUCAACUACCCCUGAACUCUGUGGAUGAUAGGGUAUAUGAAACUUCCAGGUAACUUGCAAGAAUUUAGCAAGUUCCUGGGUAACCUUACUGGCAAAAGCCGGGCCAUUAUCAGAGUUAAUCUGCAGAGGGCAGCCAUACCUGGGAAUAAUUUCAGUAGCAAGAAUCUUCACUACAGUCCUAGCAUCUUCC
rnacentral:lncRNA from 1 species